rnacentral:rRNA from 1 species
AUUGAACGCUGGCGGCAUGCUUUACACAUGCAAGUCGAACGGCAGCGCGGGCUUCGUCCUGGCGUCGAGUGGCGAACGGGUGAGUAAUACAUCGGAACGUGCCCAGUAGUGGGGGAUAGCUCGGCGAAAGCCGGAUUAAUACCGCAUACGACCUGCUGUUGAAAGCGGGGGAUCUUCGGACCUCGCGCUAUUGGAGCGGCCGAUGGCCGAUUAGCUAGUUGGUGGGGUAAAGGCCUACCAAGGCGACGAUCUGUAGCUGGUCUGAGAGGACGACCAGCCACACUGGGACUGAGACACGGCCCAGACUCCUACGGGAGGCAGCAGUGGGGAAUUUUGGACAAUGGGCGAAAGCCUGAUCGAGCAAUGCCGCGUGUGUGAUGAAGGACUUCGGGUUGUAAAGCACUUUUGGCGGGAAAGAAAAGGACUGUGCCAAUACCACGGUUCGAUGACGGUACCCGCAGAAUAAGCAACGGCUAACUACGUG